rnacentral:ncRNA from 1 species
GUAGUUGCGUUGAAAAGGACAUGGUUUUUUUGAUUUUCUGUUUUUAGAGAGGGAAGGGCGCUGAAAUCUUCCUAACAGGCCUUAAAACUUACCGCCUUGGAGCUGCGGCAGCGAAAUGUUAGUAGUUGCCUCCGUAUGUGCUGCGUUAAAGCAUCUUGAGCUGUUUUUGAUAGUUUUGAAAACAGGAAACUUAGGUGGAACCGCGAGCAAAACUCGUCCUUUGA